AUGAUAAGUCGGGGGCCGCUAGCUCCAACUCCGACCCAACACAAGAGGCGUAUGAACAAGCUGUGGGUAAUACCUCUAGCUGCAGCAACAUUCCUCUUCUUCAUCUUGUACUACCGUCGGAUCACAAAACAAAGAAAAGGUGAGGUGAUGAGGUUACAAGGAUCAAGACGUUCUUGGGAUUUGGAAGGAGAGGAACAACUAGUUUGGCAAGGCAAAAAUUCAGAGUUCAUGGUGUUUGACUUCCAACAGCUACUACAGGCCACAAAUAAUUUUUCGGAAAAAAACAAACUUGGACAGGGUGGCUUUGGUGCUGUAUACAAGGGCAAGCUUGCUGAUGGAUUGGAGAUAGCAGUUAAAAGACUUUCUUCACAUUCAGGACAAGGCUUCACAGAGUUUAAAAAUGAAGUCCAGCUCAUAGCCAAACUACAACACAGUAAUUUGGUUAGGCUAUUUGGAUGUUGCUCCCUAGAAGAGGAGAAAAUAUUAGUGUAUGAAUACUUGCCCAACAAAAGCUUGGAUUUCUUUAUCUUUGAUGAAAAAAGAAGAGCUUUACUUGAUUGGUCCAAACUUGUAGCAAUAGUUGAAGGCAUAGCACAUGGACUUCUUUACCUACAUAAGCACUCCCGGUUACGUAUCAUUCAUCGAGAUCUUAAACCAAGUAACAUUCUCUUGGAUAGUGAAAUGAAUCCAAAGAUUUCAGAUUUUGGUCUAGCAAAAAUUUUCAGCUCAGAUAGCAGUGAAGGAAACACUACUAGAAGAGUGGUUGGUACAUAUGGCUACAUGUCCCCUGAGUAUGCUUCGGAGGGUGUCUUCUCUAUUAAAUCGGACGUCUUCAGUUUUGGUGUUAUUAUUUUUGAGAUACUUAGCGGAAAGCGGAAUUCUGGUAGCCAGCAAUAUGGUGAUUUCAUCAAUCUUCUUGGAUAUGCCUGGCAACUAUGGGAAGAGGGAAGGGGAAUUGAUCUUCUUGAUACAUCAUUGGUUCCCAAAGAUCAAUCACCGAAGCUUAUGAGAUACAUUAAUAUAGCAUUAUUAUGUGUACAAGAGAACGCAGCCGAUCGACCAACCAUGGCAGAUGUUAUAGCAAUGCUAUGCACCGACGAUAUGAACAUCGACGAACCUAAGCAGCCGGCAUAUUUCAACAUAAGGGUCGGAAAUGAAGAGGAGUCUACUGCUACAGAGUCAUGCAGUAUUAACGACAUGACCAUAUCUGUCGCAAUUCCUAGAUAG
rnacentral:rRNA from 1 species